UACGAAGGUGGCAAGCGUUGUUCGGAUUUACUGGGCGUACAGGGCGCGUAGGCGGUUGGGUAAGCCCUCCGUGAAAUCUUCGGGCCUAACCCGGAAAGUGCGGAGGGGACUGCUCGGCUAGAGGAUGGGAGAGGAGCGCGGAAUUCCCGGUGUAGCGGUGAAAUGCGUAGAGAUCGGGAGGAAGGCCGGUGGCGAAGGCGGCGCUCUGGAACAUUUCUGACGCUGAGGCUCGAAAGCGUGGGGAGAAAACAGG
rnacentral:rRNA from 1 species